rnacentral:pre_miRNA from 1 species
CCCACACCCAUGUGCGCAGGAUCCGAAAGGAUCACCAUUAAAUUUGGCACAGAUCUCUAGAAAAGUCAAUGCCCACACCCAUGUAAUAACUUUUCUAAAGAUCUGUGCCAAAUUUAAUGGUGAUCCUUUGGGGUCCUACACACAUGGGUGUGGG